rnacentral:rRNA from 1 species
UACGUAGGGUGCGAGCGUUGUCCGGAAUUAUUGGGCGUAAAGAGCUCGUAGGCGGUUUGUUGCGUCGGCCGUGAAAACCUGCAGCUUAACUGUGGGCUUGCGGUCGAUACGGGCAUCACUGGAGUUCGGCAGGGGAGACUGGAAUUCCUGGUGUAGCGGUGAAAUGCGCAGAUAUCAGGAGGAACACCAAUGGGCGAAGGCAGCUCGCUGGGACGGUACUGACGC